rnacentral:rRNA from 1 species
GAUGAACGCUGGCGGCGUGCCUAAUACAUGCAAGUCGAGCGAACGGACGAGAAGCUUGCUUCUCUGACGUUAGCGGCGGACGGGUGAGUAACACGUGGAUAACCUACCUAUAAGACUGGGAUAACUUCGGGAAACCGGAGCUAAUACCGGAUAAUAUUUUGAACCGCAUGGUUCAAUAGUGAAAGACGGUCUUGCUGUCACUUAUAGAUGGAUCCGCGCUGCAUUAGCUAGUUGGUAAGGUAACGGCUUACCAAGGCAACGAUGCAUAGCCGACCUCAGAGGGUGAUCGGCCACACUGGAACUGAGACACGGUCCAGACUCCUACGGGAGGCAGCAGUAGGGAAUCUUCCGCAAUGGGCGAAAGCCUGACGGAGCAACGCCGCGUGAGUGAUGAAGGUCUUCGGAUCGUAAAACUCUGUUAUUAGGGAAGAACAUAUGUGUAAGUAACUGUGCACGUCUUGACGGUACCUAAUCAGAAAGCCACGGCUAACUACGUG